AACGAACGCUGGCGGCAGGCUUAACACAUGCAAGUCGAACGCAUCCUUCGGGGUGAGUGGCAGACGGGUGAGUAACGCGUGGGAACGUGCCCUUCAGUUCGGGAUAACCCAGGGAAACUUGGGCUAAUACCGGAUACGUGCGAGAGCAGAAAGAUGUAUCGCUGAAGGAAAGGCCCGCGUCUGAUUAGCUAGUUGGUGGGGUAAUGGCCCACCAAGGCGACGAUCAGUAGCUGGUCUGAGAGGAUGAUCAGCCACAUUGGGACUGAGACACGGCCCAAACUCCUACGGGAGGCAGCAGGGGGGAAUAUUGGACAAUGGGCGCAAGCCUGAUCCAGCCACGCCGCGUGAGUGAUGAAGGCCUUAGGGUUGUAAAGCUCUUUCGUCCGGGACGAUAAUGACGGUACCGGAAGAAGAAGCCCCGGCUAACUUCGUGCCAGCAGCCGCCGUAA
rnacentral:rRNA from 1 species